ensembl:lncRNA
GUAUAAGGAGUCCAAAAGGACCUUUCUGGCAAGAAGAAGAUUGAACAGAGAUCUGAAAGAAGAACAUGUGGAUGAAAUGUGUUCAUAUCUGCAAAGCAUUUUCAUGUCUACAAGUCUAUUGGAAUAGAUUAGAUCCAUUGUGCAUGCAAUAUAAGGGCUCUCUCUCAUGGGAAGAGCAUUCCAAUCAGAGAGAUUAGCAGGUGCAAAGAGCCCAAGGUAAGAGUUCCCAGUAUCUUUAAGCUGUAAGGAGAAUAGUAUGGCUGGAGCUGAGUGAGUGAGGAUGAAGUAAGGAAAAUGGUUUGCUCAGGAAAGUAAUGGAUUCAGCGAUGGAGGGAGAAGAUUCUAGAAGCUAAAGGCUGACUUUUACUUUGAGUAAUAUAAGAAGCCAUUGGAGAAAUCUUAAGGCAAGCAGUUAUAUGAUUUCACAUAGUUUUAAGGGAUUAACAUUUUCUCUGUAUUGAUGUUAAAAUGAAAGUGAUAGGCCAUGGCAUAGGCAAGAGUGGGAAGCCUGAAGGUUAGGCAGCAACUGCAAUAAUUCUGGUGACAGAAGAAGAAAGAUUGGACCAGAGUGGUGGUAGUCAGAUUCUGGAUGUACUUGGAGAGAUGAACUGAGCUGUUGAUAACUAUGGAUGGUAUUUAAGAGUCAUGAGACUAUUAUUGAUUCACAUAAGGGAUAAGUAUGAAGAGAAAAUAACAGCAGUUCAAGGACUAAGCCCUGGGACACUCCAGUGAUUGGAAAAAAAAUAGGGUAGAAAAGAAAUGGAGAAGAGUGGAGAGCCAAUGGAGAGAAACGGAGAAGAGUAGAGAGCCGAUAAGGAAAGCUCCAAGUUUUUCUGCUAAAAAACUGAGGAAGUAGCUGGAAGGACAUGAGGAAUCAAGAAAGGGUUGGGUUAUUUAAGGUGAGAGCAAUUACAGCAUGUUUGUAAGCAGGUGUUCUUUUUCUAGGGCUGCCAUAACAAAGUACCACAGGCUGAGAGGCUCAAAUGGCAGAAAUGUAUUUUCUCACAGCUCUGGGGGCCAGGGCUGUACAGUGUCAGCAGCGCGGGUCUCCUCAAAGGCAUCUCUACUCGGUGUGAAGGUGGUCGUUUUCUCCUUGUGUCAUCACACUGUCUUUCCUCUGUGCAUGUCUGUGUCUUCACCUCUUCUUCUUAAAAGGACACCAGUCACAUUGGAUUAGGGUACAACAUAAUGACCUCAUUUUGACGCAGUUACCUCUUUAGUGAUCUUAUCUUCAGUCACACUCUAAGGCACUGGGGGUUAGAACUUCACAUAUGAGUUUAGGGAGUACACAACUCAGCCCAUAACAAGGCUGAUGAGAAAGAUGCCAGGGAUAAUCACUGAAAUGAUGUUCUGAAACAGGCAAGAAGGGGUCGAAUAUGGUGCCUAAAGGGAAGAGCAGGCUGAAGACAGAACAUGGAUGAUCCAUCUACAAUAACAAGAGAGAAAGCAGAGUGUCUUGAUACAUAUACAGUUGAGUGGGUGCAUGUGGUGGUGAGCAUACAGCAGUUCUUUACACUGCUUUCAUUUACUCAGUGAGCUAGGCAGCAAGGUCAUCAUCAGGGCAUGUGGUUGAGAAGGUGUUGGAAGAUGGAAAAGAGAACACAAGGUCUGUAGUGGUCAUUUGGGGUGGUGGAAGAGACAGUGGACACCUGGGAGAUGUAGUGUGGAAGCUGGACAUCACCGAGGGUCCACUUGGGGUGAGCUAACCUGGAUUACAAGUGAGACCCGUAGGCACGGUGUUUUGCUCCCGUGCUGUUUUGCCAUAAGAUCAGGCCUGGAGUAGACAGAUAUGGGGUUGGCCAAAACGUUUGCUUGGGUCUUUCCAAAUGGAAAACAAACAAACAAACAAAAAUCCAAACUAACGUUUUUGCCAACCCAAUAGAUUUUGACUUCCCAAGUGGUUCAGUGGUAAGGAAUCUGCCUGCCAAUGCAGAGUUGAUCCCUGGAUUGGGAAGACCCCCUGCAGAAGGAAAUGGCAACACACUCCAGUAUUCUUGCCUGGAAAAUUCCAUGAACAGAGGAGCCAGGUGGACCACAGUCUAUGGGGGGUGCAGAAGAGUCAGACAUGACUUAACGACUAAACAACAAUGAUUAGAUUUAACUAGGGUGGUAGGGAAAGGCUUAGGGUUAGGUGCUAACAAGAUUUAACUAGGGUGGUAGGGAAAGGCUUAGGGUUAGGUGCUAACAAGACGACUAUGACAGAGGUAGACUAGGGUAAGGAUUUGUGGGGUAACAAUGAUGACAGUGGCAUCUCUGCUGGUAGGAAGGUAUAUUAGUUUCUUGGAGCUCCCAUAACAAAAUACCAGAAACUGGGUGGCUUCAACAACAGAAAUAGUGUUACACAGAGGCCAGCAGUCUGAAACCACGGUGACUUUCUCACGGGUGUGAGGAAGGGAUCUGUCCCAAGUCUCUCUCCUUAGCAUGUAGAUGGCCAGCUUCAGGUCUGUGCAGCAUUCCCCCUGUGGGUGUCUAUAUC